ensembl:lncRNA
CUCUGAUUAUCAUAAAACCCAGCCGGCCUCAAAUUAAGGCACGAGGGGCUCCCGGUCCCUCUUUCACUGCAGACUGACGAGCAGCUCACAGGUCUCCGGAAAAUGACGGCAUCGUCAGACCUAAAGUUCGUGUUAAGUCACAAUGAAGACAAAAAGCCACCGGACAGAAUGAAGAGCAACAGUCAGCCUGCAGAUGGAAACAAGGGUGGGUGGUUGGAAGGCUGAAUAAAGGCUGGUAGAUGACUGAACUCAGAGACCCGGCACAGCUCAUCAUCAUUGCCAUGGGCUCUCAUCUUCUGCCUCUUCCUCCUGUGGCUCGUACCUCCAUCCAGGGGUCCAGCAGAGCCAGCGAAGCCCAGGCGGGGAGCUAAUUGAUGGCGUUGUGGAAAAAAUCCCUGAUUGGCUGCGUUUGACUCAAAAACUGGAACAACUGAAGCAUUUUGUGUGGAUUUUCUGCUGUGCAUUUAAACCUCUGCUACAAAGACUUUGUUAUGUAGAGGUUUACAAUCCAACAUUCAACAACGGUGUCACUGAAUUGUAAUAUUAGAUAUUAAUAUAUAUAUUUCCACCAGUUGUGCCUUGAGAUGUGUCAAUAAAUAUAUUAAAAUAUGUCAC